GCCCUUGUAGUUUAAAAAAAAUUUUAAUUUUGUAAAUUAAAGAUGUCCCCCAAGGGUAAUUAUAUCGCUACAGAAACAAGAUCCAUCUCUAAGAAUCUUAAA
rnacentral:tRNA from 1 species